GAACAGCAUGGGAAAGAUGAUCUGUCUGCCCUGUGGAGUCUGUGCAAACACUGUUUCUUCUUUAUAAUGGUUCUAGUAAAGGACUUUUCAUCCUCCCGCCUAUGCCGCUCCCAGGAUCCUCUACUAGGGUUACACUGUUCUCUGGUCAAGCCAGCAUGCUUUCAGGAGGUGCAUGCAGUACCAAGGUCUACAGUGGGAACUGUGAUUUGCUCAAUGUUUGAAGCCUGGA
rnacentral:lncRNA from 1 species